rnacentral:rRNA from 1 species
GGAGGGUGCGAGCGUUAAUCGGAAUUACUGGGCGUAAAGCGUGCGCAGGCGGUUUUGUAAGACAGGUGUGAAAUCCCCGGGCUUAACCUGGGAACUGCGCUUGUGACUGCAAGACUCGAGUGUGGCAGAGGGGGGUGGAAUUCCGCGUGUAGCAGUGAAAUGCGUAGAUAUGCGGAGGAACACCGAUGGCGAAGGCAGCCCCCUGGGUCAACACUGACGCUCAUGCACGAAAGCGUGGGGAGCAAACAGGAUUAGAUACCCUGGUAGUCCACGCCCUAAACGAUGUCAACUGGUUGUUGGACGGCUUGCUGUUCAGUAACGAAGCUAACGCGUGAAGUUGACCGCCUGGGGAGUACGGCCGCAAGGUUG